rnacentral:rRNA from 1 species
UACGGGGGGUGCAAGCGUUAUUCGGACUCAUUGGGCGUAAAGGGCGCGUAGGCGGUCUCUUAUGUCAGAUGUGAAAGCCCUCGGCUUAACCGAGGAAGUGCAUUUGAAACUGAGAGACUUGAGUAUGGGAGAGGGAAGCGGAAUUCCUGGUGUAGCGGUGAAAUGCGUAGAUAUCAGGAGGAACACCGGUGGCGAAGGCGGCUUCCUGGACCAAUACUGACGCUGAGGCGCGAAGGCGUGGGGAGCAAACAGG